AACAUUAAUAUUAUUAUUAAUAAAUUGAUGCAUGGAAUUCUUUUAUACAAAAAUUUUUUUUUUAGAGAAUAGCACAUUUUUUUAACUAUUAAAUGUAUCCAAACUUUUAUAUAAGAUAAUACAGUAGUCAUAAAUUUUAUAAAUAUUUUUAAAAACCUAAUAUAUGAAUUUCUUAAAUACAAAAGUGUUAUAACAAAGUUUUAAAAUAUUGAUUUUUUUUAUUUUGAUUUUUUUUAACGUCUCUUAUAUUCCUGCCAUCUGUGCAUGGAACUAUAGCAUAGGCCAUGCUCUUAAACAGUUAUUAAUUGACUAUAUGACAUCCAAUCAGAAUUCCAUUUUGUUAAGGUUUUUUUUUUUUCUAAAUUAAGCAGGUUAGACUGGAAGUUGUUUUAAUAUAAGAUAUUGAUCAAAUAGUUUUCAUGGAUCUCUCAUUGGCUUCCAUUUGUGAUUGCAUGUUGUCAGGGGCUUGCUUUCAGUAUUUUAAGAAGAGAAUAACGCAUGAGGAGUGUAGAAAGGCAGAAUGCAUUUGGAAAGGCGUAUAUUAUAAGUUUAUGAAGUGUAAUUUAUAUUUUAUUUCUCUUUUUAUGACCAAAUGGUAAAUCAGUAACUUCACAAGAAGCCACCUUAUUAUCCUACGUGGACAUGGUAAAUCAAAGCAAAUGAAAUCUUAUUCUACAUGUCCAAAGUUGGAAAGGCGUAUAUUAUAAGUUUAUGAAGUGUAAUUUAUAUUUUAUUUCUCUUUUUAUGACCAAAUGGUAAAUCAGUAACUUCACAAGAAGCCACCUUAUUAUCCUACGUGGACAUGGUAAAUCAAAGCAAAUGAAAUCUUAUUCUACAUGUCCAAAGAUGUAAAUAAAUCGGAUUUACCUGUUAUCUAAUUUCAUUACGUUCACCGCCAAUUGCCAAAGGAGAACCGCCAUGAUCCACACUUUAUAAAAUUAGUUUGUGGGUGAAGAAGCAGAGGAAGAUUUCUUUUGGGAAAUAACAUGGCAGACAAAGGGUAGACGAAAAGGAAGGCAACUUAAGAGUAACAGACAGAGAAAGAUAGAGAACUGCAACAAGCAACACACAAAAGAAAUGUACCUCUGCAAUCCCAACCUUUCCAUCUGAUCGGCAUCUUGAUAGAACAUUGAAACAGAUUUUUCCUGGUGGUUUUUUCUUUUUCAAUUAAACGAAAUUCAUUCACCAUUCGAAGGCCCACAUUCCCCAAUUUCCUUUAAUUGUGGACAUGUCUUUUGCACGGAGCGGCAAGGUUUUUACAGAGCAGUUAACGUGCUGGUUCCAGGGUUUCAAGCCUCGAUGGCAGGUGGCAUUGAAAUGAUUCAUAUGCCUCUGUCUAUGGUUCCAUAUUUUGCAUACAUAUCCUGCCGCCUCUCUAAAAUCUCGGCAAAAAAAUGCAGACCAUGCUACAGAUGAAUACUCAAGUCUGAGAAAGUGAUUUCAAAAACCCCUAAAAUAGCAAGGAAGAAUAUACUAGGUAGGAAGGAAAAACACGUAUCCAUGGAAGCAGUGUGCAGAGAUUGCUUUUGCUUCAUCUUAUUUUCAAAAGAAUGAUUCUUUGUUAUGGUUGUGCUAUAUUUUUCCUAAAAAUUCUCUGCAUUUUUCCUGAUUGGUUUUGGCUGCAUGAUACUAUUUGUGCAGAAUCUUGAGGUGAGUCGAUUGCCACGGUUUCAGUCAGUUUUUUAAAUGAAUUUGUACACAACUAGAUCAUUUUUAGUUGUGUUUUAUUUCAUAUUGAAACAACGUUGUUCUUGUCUGCUAAAUGAAGAUGCCCUAAAAUACGGAGUAAAGUUUUUGGUCAUGGGCUGCAAGGGGUCCACUCAACUUUUGUUGUGAGUCGAUAAAUCUUUCAAGGUAUGAGACAUGGGCAGCUUUCCUUGUUGAUCUGAGGCUAUGAAGGGUAAAUUACAACCUUCUCAUUGAGAAGGUCAGUACUCCCAAGUGCAAAUUUUAAUUCAUCAGUGUCCAGUGGAAGCAAUCCUGGAAGACUGUAUAUUAUAUUGAUUUGAGUUCCAUUGUAUGUAUUGGAGUUGAGAAAAAAUUAACUCUACAACUCUCAAAGAUCACCUGCAUGCAAGCCUCUAACAGAAGGAGAGAACAAAAAAAGCAAUGGAGGCCAGAAUUCAGAGAUCCAGAAAAGAGGUUGAGAAAAAAUUAACAAUACAACUCUCAAAGAUCACCUGCAUGCAAACCUCUCACAGAAGGAGAGAAGCCAAAAAGCUAUGGAGGCCAGAAUUCAGAUAUCCAGAAAAGAAGAGUCAUAUUUGAUUGUGCAACAAGAAUGCAAUAGAGUAUAAUAGACUAAUACUUAAAUAAAUAAUUAUUAACUAAUAAAAGAUUACUCUAACAGAUGUAUAUUUAACGAAGAAAGGAUUAUAGAGUUCUUUUCUCUUGAUAGUUUGGGUUUUAUAGGGUCUAUGUCAUACGUACACAAAUAUUUAUUGGACUAUAUCUAUUUUAUCUGUUGGUGUGUAUUAUGUCGAUGCAAACAAGUCUCUCUUUAGACUCAACAAAAAUGAGUUGUUCCAUUAGCACAUUCAUUAUCUAGAGGUCAAUCUCUUUAGUGGGUGUGUAUAUAUGCAUUUUCCACUCAGUUAAGCAAUUUAAAUGUUUACAAUUAUUUUUCAA